CCCAGAGCCUGAAUCAGUGUGUGUGUUAGUGGAAGCGUCUGGAAAGGCGUGCGAUACAGGGUGACAGCCCCGUACACAAAAAUGCACAUACUGUGAGCUCGAUGAGUAGGGCGGGACACGUGGUAUCCUGUCUGAAUAUGGGGGGACCAUCCUCCAAGGCUAAAUACUCCUGACUGACCGAUAGUGAACCAGUACCGUGAGGGAAAGGCGAAAAGAACCCCGGCGAGGGGAGUGAAAAAGAACCUGAAACCGUGUACGUACAAGCAGUGGGAGCACAGAUCAAUCUGUGUGACUGCGUACCUUUUGUAUAAUGGGUCAGCGACUUAUAUUCUGUAGCAAGGUUAACCGAAUAGGGGAGCCGAAGGGAAACCGAGUCUUAACUGGGCGUUAAGUUGCAGGGUAUAGACCCGAAACCCGGUGAUCUAGCCAUGGGCAGGUUGAAGGUUGGGUAACACUAACUGGAGGACCGAACCGACUAAUGUUG
rnacentral:rRNA from 1 species